ensembl:snRNA U6 U6 spliceosomal RNA
UUGCUUUUGUAGCACAUGUACUAAUAUUGGAACAAUAUAGAGGUUAGCACACCUCUGUGUAAGGAUGACAUACAAAUUUGAGAAGUGUUUCAUAUUUUU